rnacentral:rRNA from 1 species
GAUGAACGCUGGCGGCGUGCCUAACACGUGCAAGUCGAACGAAGCACCUUACCUGAUUCUUCGGAUGAAAGUUUGGUGACUGAGUGGCGGACGGGUGAGUAACGCGUGGGUAACCUGCCCUGUACAGGGGGAUAACAGCUGGAAACGGCUGCUAAUACCGCAUACGCGCACGAGGAGACAUCUCCUUGUGUGAAAAACUCCGGUGGUACAGGAUGGGCCCGCGUCUGAUUAGCUGGUUGGCAGGGUAACGGCCUACCAAGGCAACGAUCAGUAGCCGGUCUGAGGGGAUGAACGGCCACAUUGGAACUGAGACACGGUCCAAACUCCUACGGGAGGCAGCAGUGGGGAAUAUUGCACAAUGGGGGAAACCCUGAUGCAGCAACGCCGCGUGAGUGAAGAAGUAUUUCGGUAUGUAAAGCUCUAUCAGCAGGGAAGAUAAUGACGGUACCUGACUAAGAAGCUCCGGCUAAAUACGUG